CACGUAGGGUGCGAGCGUUGUCCGGAAUUAUUGGGCGUAAAGAGCGUGUAGGCGGCCAGGUAGGUCCGUUGUGAAAACUGGAGGCUUAACCUCCAGCUGUCGAUGGAAACCAUCUGGCUAGAGUCCGGAAGAGGAGAGUGGAAUUCCUGGUGUAGCGGUGAAAUGCGCAGAUAUCAGGAAGAACACCCGUGGCGAAGGCGGCUCUCUGGGACGGUACUUACGCUGAGACGCGAAAGCGUGGGGAGCGAACAGG
rnacentral:rRNA from 1 species